AUUAAACGCUGGCGGCAUGCCUUACACAUGCAAGUCGAACGGCAGCACGGGGGCAACCCUGGUGGCGAGUGGCGGACGGGUGAGUAAAGCAUCGGAACGUAUCCUGGAGUGGGGGAUAACGUAGCGAAAGUUGCGCUAAUACCGCAUAUUCUGUGAGCAGGAAAGCAGGGGAUCGCAAGACCUUGCGCUCUGGGAGCGGCCGAUGUCGGAUUAGGUAGUUGGUGGGGUAACGGCCUACCAAGCCUGCGAUCGGUAGCUGGUCUGAGAGGACGACCAGCCACACUGGGACUGAGACACGGCCCAGACUCCUACGGGAGGCAGCAGUGGGGAAUAUUGGACAAUGGGCGGAAGCCUGAUCCAGCAAUGCCGCGUGGAUGAAGAAGGUCUUCGGAUUGUAAAGUCCUUUCGGCGGGGACGAUGAUGACGGUACCCGCAGAAGAAGCCCCGGCUAACUUCGUGCCAGCAGCCGCGGUAAU
rnacentral:rRNA from 1 species